rnacentral:misc_RNA from 1 species
UUCAGCAAUUUUUAGAGCACAUUCCUUAACUUCAGGAGAUAAUGCAUAAGCUAUGGCUCUUGAUAGCACAUUUGCAGCUACCCUGAUUCUGAAGUCAUCCAUUUUAUCAGGAACCAAAUGGUUUCUUUUCAAUGGUUCUGGAGCAACUCCAAGCCAGUACAUCCUCUCAGCCCAAUAAAAUUGAUCCAACAUAAAUGGACAUAGUACCUGUGGGAUUCCCGCAUAUAGAGC